AGUGAACGCUGGCGGUAGGCCUAACACAUGCAAGUCGAACGGCAGCACAGGAGAGCUUGCUCUCUGGGUGGCGAGUGGCGGACGGGUGAGGAAUACAUCGGAAUCUACUUUUUCGUGGGGGAUAACGUAGGGAAACUUACGCUAAUACCGCAUACGACCUACGGGUGAAGGCAGGGGAUCUUCGGACCUUGCGCGAUUGAAUGAGCCGAUGUCGGAUUAGCUAGUUGGCGGGGUAAAGGCCCACCAAGGCGACGAUCCGUAGCUGGUCUGAGAGGAUGAUCAGCCACACUGGAACUGAGACACGGUCCAGACUCCUACGGGAGGCAGCAGUGGGGAAUAUUGGGCAAUGGGCGCAAGCCUGAUCCAGCCAUACCGCGUGGGUGAAGAAGGCCUUCGGGUUGUAAAGCCCUUUUGUUGGGAAAGAAAUCCAGCUGGCUAAUACCCGGUUGGGAUGACGGUACCCAAAGAAUAAGCACCGGCUAACUUCGUGCCAGCCGCCGCCGUAA
rnacentral:rRNA from 1 species